rnacentral:rRNA from 1 species
CAAUAGCGUAUAUUAAAGUUGUUGCAGUUAAAAGCUCGUAGUUGGAUUUCUGGCAGGAGUGACCGGCCGCACACACUGUGUGCGAGUUGCGUCAUUCUGGCCAUCCUUGGUGAGAUCCUGUUUGGCAUUAAGUUGUCGGGCAGGGGAUAACCAUCGUUUACUGUGAAAAAUUAGAGUGUUUAAAGCAGGCUUAUGCCGUUGAAUAUAUUAGCAUGGAAUAAUGGAAUAGGACUUUGGUCCCAUUUUGUUGGUUUCUAUGGGCCGAAGUAAUGAUUAAGAGGGACAAUUGGGGGCAUCCGUAUUUCGUUGUCAGAGGUGAAAUUCUUGGAUUUACGAAAGACGAACAACUGCGAAAGCACUUGCCAAGAGUGUUUUCAUUAAUCAAGAACGAAAGUUAGAGGAUCGAAGAUGAUUAGAUACCAU